rnacentral:rRNA from 1 species
GACGAACGCUGGCGGCGUGCUUAACACAUGCAAGUCGAACGGAAAGGCCUCAGCUUGCUGGGGUACUCGAGUGGCGAACGGGUGAGUAACACGUGGGUGAUCUGCCUUGCACUCUGGGAUAAGCUUGGGAAACUGGGUCUAAUACCGGAUAUGAACUGCCUUUAGUGUGGUGGUUGGAAAGUUUUUUCGGUGCAAGAUGAGCUCGCGGCCUAUCAGCUUGUUGGUGGGGUAAUGGCCUACCAAGGCGUCGACGGGUAGCCGGCCUGAGAGGGUGUACGGCCACAUUGGGACUGAGAUACGGCCCAGACUCCUACGGGAGGCAGCAGUGGGGAAUAUUGCACAAUGGGCGGAAGCCUGAUGCAGCGACGCCGCGUGGGGGAUGACGGCCUUCGGGUUGUAAACUCCUUUCGACAGGGACGAAGCCUUUUGUGACGGUACCUGUAUAAGAAGCACCGGCUAACUACGUG